rnacentral:rRNA from 1 species
CGUAAAGAGCUCGUAGGUGGUUUGUCGCGUUGUUCGUGAAAUCUCACGGCUUAACCGUGAGCGUGCGGGCGAUACGGGCAGACUAGAGUACUGCAGGGGAGACUGGAAUUCCUGGUGUAGCGGUGGAAUGCGCAGAUAUCAGGAGGAACACCGGUGGCGAAGGCGGGUCUCUGGGCAGUAACUGACGCUGAGGAGCGAAAGCGUGGGGAGCGAACAGGAUUAGAUACCCUGGUAGUCCACGCCGUAAACGGUGGGUACUAGGUGUGGGUUUCCUUCCUUGGGAUCCGUGCCGUAGCUAACGCAUUAAGUACCCCGCCUGGGGAGUACGGCCGCAAGGCUAAAACUCAAAGGAGUUGACGGGGGCCCGCACAAGCGGCGGAGCAUGUGGAUUAAUUCGAUGCAACGCGAAGAACCUUACCUGGGUUUGACAUGCACAGGACGCGUCUAGAGAUAGGCGUUCCCUUGUGGCCUGUGUGCAGGUGGUGCAUGGCUGUCGUCAGCUCGUGUCGUGAGAUGUUGGGUUAAGUCCCACAACGAGCGCAACCCUUGUCUCAUGUUGCCAGCGGGUAAUGCCGGGGACUCGUGAGAGACUGCCGGGGUCAACUCGGAGGAAGGUGGGGAUGACGUCAAGUCAUCAUGCCCCUUAUGUCCAGGGCUUCACACAUGCUACAAUGGCCGGUACAAAGGGCUGCGAUGCCGUAAGGUUAAGCGAAUCCUUUUAAAGCCGGUCUCAGUUCGGAUUGGGGUCUGCAACUCGACCCCAUGAAGUCGGAGUCGCUAGUAAUCG